GGUAGACGCUAUCCUCUUCAGCCGUGAUUGUCACUUGGAAAACAUCAUCUGAUUGUUCGUGAUUGGCUUCCCAUUCAGGAGAAUCCACGAAUUGGUGCACAUUGAUGAAAUGUAAAUGGGUAUCGUCACAUGUCACUCUUAACCUAUAAAAUAUGACAGGUUCACGUUGUUUUCUACCAUACUGGAAAGCUGUGAAUGAUAAGUAUCACAUACCUACUUUAGUAACGUAAAAUAUUUGAAAGAGAUAAUGUGAAAACAACGCGUACCGUUUAUAAUUGAAGAUUGUGUUGUUUAAAUUAUGAGUUAAGUGUCAAAAACUAGGAGCGGACCCAAAGAGAAUAUGUUCAAGACAAGAAAUGACGAA